rnacentral:rRNA from 1 species
UACGUAGGGUGCAAGCGUUGUCCGGAAUUAUUGGCGUAAAGAGCUCGUAGGCGGUCUGUCGCGUCUGCUGUGAAAACUCAGGGCUUAACCCUGAGCUUGCAGUGGGUACGGGCAGACUAGAGUGCGGUAGGGGAGACUGGAAUUCCUGGUGUAGCGGUGAAAUGCGCAGACUAUCAGGAGGAACACCGGUGGCGAAGGCGGGUCUCUGGGCCGUAACUGACGC